AGGUAUAAAUAUUUAUACCGUGAAACUGCGAAUGGCUCAUUAAAUCAGUUAUCGUUUAUUUGAUAGUACCUUACUACUUGGAUAACCGUGGUAAUUCUAGAGCUAAUACAUGCUUACAACCUCGACUUCGGAAGGGGUGUAUUUAUUAGAUAAAAAACCAACGCCCUCCGGGGCUUUUUGGUGAUUCAUGAUAACUUUGCGGAUCGCAUGGCCUUGCGCUAGCGACGGUUCAUUCAAAUUUCUGCCCUAUCAACUUUCGAUGGUAAGGUAUUGGCUUACCAUGGUUUCAACGGGUAACGGGGAAUUAGGGUUCGAUUCCGGAGAGGGAGCCUGAGAAACGGCUACCACAUCCAAGGAAGGCAGCAGGCGCGCAAAUUACCCAAUCCCAAUACGGGGAGGUAGUGACAAUAAAUACUGAUACAGGGCUCUUUUGGGUCUUGUAAUUGGAAUGAGUACAAUUUAAACCUCUUAACGAGGAACAAUUGGAGGGCAAGUCUGGUGCCAGCAGCCGCGGUAAUUCCAGCUCCAAUAGCGUAUAUUAAAGUUGUUGCAGUUAAAAAGCUCGUAGUUGAACCUUGGGUCUGGCUGGCAGGUCCGCCUCACCGCGUGUACUUGUCCGGCCGGGCCUUCCUUCUGGAGAACCUCAUGCCCUUUACUGGGCGUGUUGGGGACCAGGACUUUUACUUUGAAAAAAUUAGAGUGUUCAAAGCAGGCCUUUGCUCGAAUACGUUAGCAUGGAAUAAUAGAAUAGGACGUGCGGUCCUAUUUUGUUGGUUUCUAGGACCGCCGUAAUGAUUAAUAGGGACAGUCGGGGGCAUCAGUAUUCAAUUGUCAGAGGUGAAAUUCUUGGAUUUAUUGAAGACUAACUACUGCGAAAGCAUUUGCCAAGGAUGUUUUCAUUAAUCAGUGAACGAAAGUUAGGGGAUCGAAGACGAUCAGAUACCGUCGUAGUCUUAACCGUAAACUAUGCCGACUAGGGAUCGGGCGAUGUUAUUUUUCUGACUCGCUCGGCACCUUACGAGAAAUCAAAGUUUUUGGGUCUGGGGAGU
rnacentral:rRNA from 1 species